rnacentral:lncRNA from 1 species
CAAAGUUGAGUUGCAGACCAUUUUUCUAUUUCCCAUUAAAAUAGGAAGCCCACUUACAUGGCUCGCGACCCACAUCAAUAAUUCUGGCACAUGUGACGUCGGGACAAUCCAAACAUUUAGAGAAACAUACCCUCCUUUAUUAGUAGAUAUAGAAUUAAGGAAUAUUUGGUAGAUUCUCAACAUCUUGCAUUGCCCAUUGUCAAGUCAUCAUACUACUCAACAUUAUUAUUUGUUACACGCACCCUAUGAUAGUUGCAACAUGUUUCUUAUUCAACACUCCCAUUGGCAUGUACAAGCUCCAAAGAAUAGGUAACAAAACCCUUCGAUAAAGCCCUCCUUGUGGCAUGCAUCAACACAAGGAUCAUGCUUUGCAUGGUACAGACGUAUAGGUCCGGCUAUCUCGAGUGCACAUCUUUGCUUCCGAACCUACAAAAUAACCACAUAAUUUUGUGUACAAAAAGAAAUUCAGAUCUUAUGAUGUUCCACAAAGGAACGGGAUAAAAAGUUGUGGCAUGGAGUGCAAAAUACACAUAGGAGGAAACAAAGUACAAAACAUGCAUUGAGGAAGUUCCUUGUUCUUCAUGUGAAAUUUUCAGACAACGCUUACCAGGAACUAAAAGUGGCAUGAGCAAGAACAGGCAUAACAGUCCUGUCAUCUUGACCACUCCCAUGACUCCAAGAAUAAACAGUCCCAAAAGCAAGUAAGCAAGCAUGAAAUUGACGCAUCAGAAGAGGCC